AACGAACGCUGGCGGCAUGCCUAACACAUGCAAGUCGAACGAGACCUUCGGGUCUAGUGGCGCACGGGUGCGUAACGCGUGGGAACCUGCCCUUAGGUUCGGAAUAACUCCCCGAAAGGGGUGCUAAUACCGGAUAAUGUCUUCGGACCAAAGAUUUAUCGCCUUUGGAUGGGCCCGCGUUGGAUUAGCUAGUUGGUAGGGUAAAAGCCUACCAAGGCGACGAUCCAUAGCUGGUCUGAGAGGAUGAUCAGCCAGACUGGGACUGAGACACGGCCCAGACUCCUACGGGAGGCAGCAGUGAGGAAUAUUGGACAGUGGGCGAAAGCCUGAUCCAGCAAUGCCGCGUGAGUGAUGAAGGCCUUAGGGUUGUAAAGCUCUUUUACCCGGGAUGAUAAUGACAGUACCGGGAGAAUAAGCUCCGGCUAACUCCGUG
rnacentral:rRNA from 1 species